rnacentral:rRNA from 1 species
UACGGAGGGUGCAAGCGUUAUCCGGAUUCACUGGGUUUAAAGGGUGCGUAGGUGGGUUGAUAAGUCAGUGGUGAAAUCCCCGAGCUUAACUUGGGAACUGCCAUUGAUACUAUUGAUCUUGAAUACCGUGGAGGUCAGCGGAAUAUGUCAUGUAGCGGUGAAAUGCUUAGAUAUGACAUAGAACACCAAUUGCGAAGGCAGCUGGCUACGCGAAUAUUGACACUGAUGCACGAAAGCGCUGGGGAUCAAACAGG